CCCGCAGUGUUUCGACGAGCGUCGUGACUGUUUUGCUAGUUCUCAUUCUCAAUCACCCCGAGGAGGAUUGGGAUUUACGGGGUCAACUAUGGAUCAAUCAAGAGGAAACAUUGGCAAUGGUUAUUAUGGUGACACCGUGGGGGAACAGGUGGAGGCGAGGCCCCAGCCAAGAAUGAUUCAUUUGAAGACUAUAUGUGGAUGGCAAAUGAAGAGGAGGCAGAAAGGGAGAUGCUAAAAACAAAUGAGGAUGAACAAGCAGCUCAGAAAUGUUUCAACGAAAUGCUGGACGAAGAGGAGCGUAUUGUGCAACCAGAGGCAGCC